CGAUAUGUGUGUGUGUGUUCACGGUGUGUGUGUGUCUUCAGUGAGUGUGUAUGAGUGAGCGAGUCAUUUUUCACAACGACAGCUCAACUGUCGGCCUUAACCCCCACUCCUCUUAUUCACGAUUCCCAGCAGAUAAGAGGAUGGAUGAUCGCGACGCCGCCUUUGUGUUCGCGACAGGAGGCCGAUCUGUUGUGAUUGGCGAUGUUUACACCGCCUCCUUCUCCGUGGCCGAAAAUCGCACCAAGGACGACACCUCGACUGACGAGCUGACAUCGCUCCGAGCUCACCCCUGGCCGUGUUAUUCCAUUUGCGUUCGAGUGACAAAGUAAAUUCAAACAAUCGGAGCCCGGGUCGAGAGGCAUCGCCGCGUCCCGCGCAAGCAGCUGGCCUGCACCUAAGGCAGGCAAGAGAAUGAGAGGACGGGGAAAUGCAGGAGAGAAGAAAGAGGAGAGGGAGCCACUGGGCGACAGAUGACGAGGCCGGGUGCGAUGACCGAGGCGGCAGCAGCAGCAGUGAGCCACCCCGCGUGGUGCGAGGCGUUUUGAGCGAGUGGUUGCGAGUGUGCAUGCAUGUAGGUAUGUAUGUUGACCUUCUUUUCGCACCCUGCGUAGCCAACCGUGCUAAUGGUUGAUGCAAAGGGAGCGCUGCAGCCGCGCUGCUCGGCUUCCCGGCUGGGCGAGCCACUGGACAGCAGCGGAGCGGGGCAACACUCCCCACCCGGUGCCUCGCGUCUCGCUGUUCGCGCUGUUCCCGAUGACCACGAGAGGGAGGGGGCCGUGCUAAGCGGUCCGCGCUGUCUUUCAACUUGGGGGGCGCCCAUUACCGAGCCCCGCACGUGACCAUGGCCCUGUCGGGGCUCUGCCGACGUCUCGGUUCUCCCGAAGUGCCUCUCUAGAAGCCACCAACAACAAUGACUGUGACCAAGAGCCCCGUGCUACAUCUCCCAUCGAAUGAACACCGCGCACGCGUACCCCCCCCCCCCCACGCCACGCCAUGUGUACGCGCGCCUACUGAAAUCGGCGCGCCGAGCCGUCCCCCGUGCUAAACAUGCAGCUCACACCUCUAAUUGGCGUUAUCUGUCGUGUGCAUUAAUUUGGCCGUCUAAGAUUUUGAGAAGUAAUUGGAUAAACCCGCGCUUCGGAGCUCUGCGGGCAGUGCUGCUCGCUGCGGCUUUCGUGCCGCGUGUUAUUCUCCCGUCGAUAUUUCUGCUCAUUAACACCUCGUGGGUGGUGCAGUGCACACCGCGCGAUGAACCCGGCUACCUGAGUUCCAUUCCCAGCCACGGCUAACGUCAGUGGUGAGUCAUCUCUGAAUCUAAAGUGCUAAUUAAUUCAGGAAAGCCACACAGAGUAGCAGAACCAUUUUUUUGAGGGGGGUCCUGCAUUGGGGUUUAUUUAAAGAUGAUUUCAGCCAAUUUGACCAAAAUGGUGAAGUAUGGUCAAACAACUCCCACGACCAACACGGCAAGAGGAGGCCUUUACUCAGCAGUGGGUGGCACGGCAAUUCCCGUGCCCGCAGCGCGCUGCCGAGCGAGCCUCCCGGUGAUGUCCUCAUUGUCGCGAUACAUGGGGACCAGGGGGCGCAGAGGAUGAUGUGGAACGUGCGGAUGUACUGCAGCCGUUAUCUGGCUUGACCACCUGAAUGUGACAUUGUGGUUGUUGCUCUGCAUCUACGUCAGCAGCAGUCUCACGGAAGGGGAAGACUGCAGGCGUUUUGAGCGGCACUCGGCGAGACACGGAGUCGAUCCCGUGGGCAGAAGUUGGCAUCUGCUGUGCCGGGACUCCCGAGAGGCAGCGCCGGGCUCACCGCUGCUGCGCGGCAGGAGAGCGAGAGGGGACGACUCAGAGCCACGAGGAGGAGCCACAGACGAACGGGAAGGCGCAGCAGCCAUGCGAUGAGGAGCCGGCGCUACCAACAAUUAUCUCAGCUCUGCGGUCCUCUAUAUAUGAAGGUGUUACCGGCCAAUUAAUGAUUAAUUUACACGUGGGAGGAAAUCGGAGCACCCGGAGAAAACCGACGCUUGCGAGCGAGGGAAAACACUAUAUCCCGUAGAAAUGGAACAGGUGGAGUCCACGUGUUUGCAGUACGUACUGCCUUCUCGUGGCGAGCAAGGUCAUGAUAUCCCAUCAACGCCCACGGGAAGGGAGUUUCGCAACUUGUGUGAGCCACCAACCGUUGCUUGUUUCCACAGUGCUGGAUCACACGACACGUCGCCACAGCACUCACACUACCCUCGACUACAACUGCUCUACAAUGCACACCACGAGAGUUGAAUGGUCAAACAGAAACUAUUCCUUUGUCUCACAAUAGCAAUUACUAACAUUCCUGUUCUGGCACUUGUAAAAUUAUGAGAAUCAAGUUUAAACUCGAAUCGGUGCAGCCAAUUAUGGUAGCAGCGUGGCCACGUGGGUACGUGGCCACGUGGGCACGCCACCAGCCCUCUACCCAGCCAGACGGCGUCUCACCUCGCGGUGGCUAAAAACCUCACUUUGCGCAUGGUUGCGUUGCACACAGGUAACAUGUGUGAGGCGUAACAUGCGUGUGGUGUUCGGCAUGAUUCGUUUUAAUAAUGAAAGGGGGUUUAAUACGUUUGUCUAUUUCUACUGAAAAGUCGUUUCAGAUGAAAUUCGUUUCACCCUGACAAUCGCGAUGAAUAUUCUUCAAAUGUAAUUUGAGCGGCUCAUAAUUAAUUUACAUGUUUAAAAUACAUUGAUGUGAUAUUUAAAAUGUUCGUCUUACAAUAUUAGUUGGAAAGGAAAUAAUACAUGCAUACAAUACAUCCAUCCAUUCAUUGGUAACUUGAACUGUCUCUUUCUGGUUUAAAUCGAGCACCUGGUGCGGCUGGUAACGAUCGGCCGCCGUAGUUCGCUCGAGACAUCUGGAGCAGCAGAUGACCGGCAAUAAUCACAUUUGGAUUACAUUUGGAUUACAUUGUCAUCGGGAAGCAGCUCGUGGAGUUGAGGCAAUAGCGAUCCCCCGAAGAGAACCCAGGAACUCCGCAUCGCCCGUAAUGAUGAGCACACACGCGCGCGCGUGCCCUUCAUAUAAUCAGCAGCAGCACCAUCAGCAGCUAUGAUCUCUCCACUGCUGGGUGAAGGUCACCUAAGCCGUCGUCAUUUUGCACGACCUUGUGCGAGUUCAUGGCCCCUUCUCCUCCACAGGGAGCGAUCUCUCGAGACGAGUUCCCUCUAUGGCUGGGACUCUCUCAUGAAUCUCGACCGCCGGCCAUCGGUCAUUUGGACGACGCGCGCUGCCCAAGCCGAAUUGCUUUUGGAGCGGUAACCUCGACGCCUCUAUAACAUGAACAUCCCAGGCUACGUGUUCCUCUUUCUGUCUCUCUAAUUCCAAGCACACAGUCACACACCUCUCCACACUUCUGUGUGCACUUGUUCGCACGUUUCGUCAUGUAUUUUCUGAUUAACCGUAUUCCAAUCCAAAUAAAAACAUCUCACUGAG